GACAGAGAAGAGCUUGGACUGUGCUGAGCGGGAGCUGCCCUCCUGUAGGGGUGAGAGGACCAAGAGACCUGAGGAGGCAGAACGGAGUCCUCGGGUUGGGGUGUAGGGUUUGAGCAUAGCCUGAAGUUAGGGAGGGGCAGUUCCUCUUGCUAUUCCGUAGGUAAGCACCAUGGUCUUGUAGUGUAUGCAAGCUUCAACUGGAAGCCAGUGGAGUGUGCAGAGGAGUGGGGUGACAUGAGAGAACUUGGGAAGGUUGAAAACCAGGCGGGCUGCUCAGUAUGGUGAAGAGAGGAGUGCCUUAGUAGUGCAUUUCUUUGCUUGUAUGUGUGUAUGUGUGUGUUCCAGAGCCUAGGAGCCUGGAGAAGGCCCUAUCGCCAAGGCUCUGGAGCUUCAACCUGGGGAUGACAAAGUGACCCACAGUGGUGGAAUGGAGUGCACGUGUGGGUUGGUGGGGGAAAAGGUCUGAGAGAUCACAGGAUCGGGGCCUGUUCCCGAGGAAGCAGUAUAUCCUUCGCAUCCGGCUCGUCAGAGUCAUGAAAGGAAAAAAAGGAUUCUGCUAGUCUGUGUGGUUUGCAGAAGAGGAUGUCUUCCUUAAUUGACCCCCCAUAAACGUAACGAACAUAUACCAGGAGCUGUGCCAGGCCCGCCACGUCUGUUGACUCAUCCAUCUGUAACGCAUAUAAUUUAC
rnacentral:lncRNA from 1 species